rnacentral:rRNA from 1 species
UGUAAGUAGAGCGUACAUAAAGCGAAACUGCGAACGGCUCAUUACAACAGAUAUAAUCUACUUGUUCUUUUCAAUCUAAACGGAUAACUGCGGUAAUUCUGGAGCCAAUACGUGACUAAAAGCAGUGGCCUUCGGGUCGCUGUGCUAUUAUUGGAGCAAAACUAUUCGUUAGUCCCUUUGCUAACUCUGGAUAAUACUGCGUAUCGCAUGACCUCGUGUCGGCGAAGUUUCAUUCGAGUAUCUGCCCUAUCAACUUGCUGGCAGUGUAUUGGACUGCCAUGGUUCUAACGGGUAACGGAGGAUCAGGGUCUGACUCCGGAGAGGGAGCCUUAGAAACGGCUACCAUGUCUAAGGAUAGCAGCAGGCGCGAAAAUUACCCAAUAUCAAUACGAUGAGGUAGUGACGAGAAAUAACGAGACCGUUCUCUCUGAGGUCGGUCAUUGGAAUGGGUACAAUCUAGACAAUUUAACGAGUAUCUACGAGAGGGCAAGUCUGGUGCCAGCAGCCGCGGUAAUUCCAGCUCUCGUAAUACAUAGAAUUAUUGUUGCGGUUAAAAAGUUCGUAGUUGAUUAGCGAACCGUUCGGGGUGCAUCCUAACGGGUGUCACUCGUCGGACGGUAUUUUGUGCGUUUGUGCACGGCGGCUUUCGGGUCGCUCGUGUGCUGCGUGCAGGAUUACUUUGAACGGCUUAAGUGCUCAAGGCGGGUCUUAUGACCGAAUACCGGUGCAUGGAAUAAUGGAACAAGGUUGCGGCCGAGUUUUAUUGGUUUUGUCGGCUGAAACAAUGGUUAACAGGAACAGCCGGGGGCAUUCGUAUCGCUGCGCGAGAGGUGAAAUUCGGGGACCGUAGCGAGACGCACUAAAG